AAUUUUGGACAAUGGGGGAAACCCUGAUCCAGCCAUCCAGCGUGUUGGAUGAAGGCCUUCGGGUUGUAAAGUACUUUUUGCAGAGAAGAAAAGAUAUCUCCUAAUACGAGAUACUGCUGACGGUAUCUGCAGAAUAAGAACCGGAUAACGACGUCCCAGCAGCCGCGGUAAUACGUAGGGUGCAAGCUUUAAUCGGAAUUACUGGGCGUAAGGCGUGUGUAGGCGGUUCGGAAAGAAAGAUGUGAAAUCCCAGGGCUCAACCUUGGAACUGCAUUUUUAACUGCCGAGCUAGAGUAUGUCAGAGGGGGGUAGAAUUCCACGUGUAGCAGUGAAAUGCGUAGAUAUGUGGGGGAAUACCGAUGGCGAAGGCAGCCCCCUGGGAUAAUACUGACGCUCAGACACGAAAGCGUGGGGAGCAAACAG
rnacentral:rRNA from 1 species